CCUACGGGGGGCUGCAGUGGGGAAUAUUGGACAAUGGGGGGAACCCUGAUCCAGCCAUGCCGCGUGUGUGAAGAAGGCCCUCGGGUUGUAAAGCACUUUCAGUGAGGAAGAACGCCUGGUGGUUAAUACCCAUCAGGAAAGACAUCACUCACAGAAGAAGCACCGGCUAACUCCGUGCCAACAGCCGCGGUAAUACGGAGGGUGCGAGCGUUAAUCGGAAUUACUGGGCGUAAAGCGCGCGUAGGUGGCUUGAUAAGCCGGUUGUGAAAGCCCCGGGCUCAACCUGGGAACGGCAUCCGGAACUGUCAAGCUAGAGUGCAGGAGAGGAAGGUAGAAUUCCCGGUGUAGCGGUGAAAUGCGUAGAGAUCGGGAGGAAUACCAGUGGCGAAGGCGGCCUUCUGGACUGACACUGACACUGAGGUGCGAAAGCGUGGGUAGCAAACAGGAUUAGAUACCCUGGUAGUC
rnacentral:rRNA from 1 species